CACUGUUCCGAGGGGGGCUCCGGCAGGAGCUGAGAUUCCACAUCGGUUCGCUGAUCGAGACGAUCGCGAGAUCACCGUGGUGACCCUUCGAACCUGAUCCGGGUUAUGCCGGCGAAGGGACGGGAAUGUUGCAAAAC
rnacentral:ncRNA from 2 species